UUUCUAGCACUCUGAGUUCAAAUCCGCGCGCCAAUGUGGAGCUGUCUAGAAACUACUAUUGAAGACCAAUAUAAAGCAAAUGGGACUCUCGCUGCUGCACCCAAAGAAGCCAAACGCUGGUCACGACAUUCUUCAGAUUGAACGGAUUGUGAGGACUUCGUCUUCUGUUCUACUUCGUGAAGGACCAAGGUCCAAAAGAUACUCAUCAAGCUCAGAAAUUAGAAGUCUCCAGGAGAAACCCUUGGAUUUAGGUGUGAAACUGAAUAAUCACAAGGUCAGGACAUACUGGGUCUUGCGCCCAAAUGUUACAAUCCUCGUGCCAACAAAGCAAUAAAGGAAAACAAAAAGUGGUCGAUGACAAUAAUAAGUCCCACAGAACUGGGCCCAAUGGCAUGCCACCGACUCAGACGGGUCUAUUUAUACGCGAGCCGACAUGUGUGACGCAUUUGAGUUACUCGUCUUCUUCGGAUGAUGAAGUGACAAACCAAUCAGCUGUGAUUUUUCCUACUAAUAAUGGUAUGCUGACAUCAAUUGAGUACUUGGAGCGAGGAGAAAGUUCCAAAGGGUAAAAGCGUGCACGCGAAGCACUAAGAUAUGCUAGCCGUACCCUUGAACAAAUCCAAGCAAGGCGAGAACGUGUGAGAGCACGUCGGCAAAAUUUAACACCAAAUGAGAAGGAAAGGAUUAAUGCACAGAGAAGAAAGAAAAGACAACGCAUAACACUUGAUGAGAGGAAUGCAAGCCAGCGAGCACGUAGGCAAAGUUUGACGCUAGAUGAGAGGCAAGAAAGAAAUGCACGCCAGCGAGCACGUAGGAAAAGCCUACCACCCGAAGAGCGGCAAGCACUCCUAGCUCAGCGUAAAGCAAGCUACGCAGCUAAACGAGAUACCCUCUAUAAGGAUUCUGUCGCAAUGCAGUACCCUAAAGGUUCGUUGGUGGGACAUCUAUCAUCAAGCUCUUAUGUCUUUAGCUGCCCAAGUACGCUGGCGCAAACUUCUGCUACGGUUCAAGGUAAUCUUGAAAGCAUACCUGAAGCGGUGGAAGAGGAUCACAUAGUUUUCACUAACACAGGUAAUCUUGAAAGCAUACCUGAAGCGGUGGAAGAGGAUCACAGAGUUUUCACUAACACAGGUUCCCCAACAGAAAGCUUUGUUGCGGACGAUAAUGAGUUUGAAGAAGAAGAUGAUGAGUACUUCCAUUGUCAUGGAUGCCUUACUUCCCUACAUGUAUUGCACAAAAACUGCAAGACCUAUAUAACACUAUUCAUCUCAUGUAUAUGUAGGCGAUGAUGAAGACUGUGAUGACAUGAUGGAUGCAUUUACAGCGGUUCCUGAUCCAUAUGAUCGUGUCUACGAGAAUAUACCUGUGAGAAGAUGGAUGAAGCCAGAGCUCGAGGGCCAACAUUGUUAGCAUAGAUGGUUUUGAGCAAACGACUAAAAGAAGAAAGGAGCUCUUUGAGGACUGUUGUGACAUAGAUCCAGCAAGCUGGUGAUGGUGGUGCAGGAAGUGUAUGGGCGUCGACAUGGCUGGAACCCCAUGGUCAUGAGACUAGCGAUGUAGUCGUCGUCGUCCUUUUUGUGCUCUCCUGUGUUGGUCUAUUUUGGGAUUCUGUGUACAAUAUCUUUUUUUUUCUGUAUGAGAGUUAACUGCAGUUUGUCAGGUUACUGGUUGACGAUGCUCUUGUUCAUGUUACCAAGGAUGAUGUAGGGAGUAGUUGUUUACGCGUGUUGGGUUUGGGUGGCUAAUGCUCAGCCCGUAUGGUGUGUGUAUGUGCGUGUGUGUAUUGGGUUUGGGUGGCUAAUGCCCAGCCCGUAUGGUGUGUGUAAUACUGAAAAAUUCUAUAUUGUUUGCAUUUACUAUUCAUUUGGAUGUAUGUAAGCUCGGGAACAUAAUUGAAUAUUUGGAAAAGCAUAUUGAUAACAUA